rnacentral:rRNA from 1 species
CGGCGGACGGGUGAGUAAUGUAUGGGGAUCUGCCUGAUGGCGGGGGGUAACUACUGGAAACGGUAGCUAAUACCGCAUAAUGUCUACGGACCAAAGCGGGGGACCUCCGGGCCUCGCGCCAUCAGAUGAACCCAUAUGGGAUUAGCUUGUAGGUAAGGUAACGGCUUACCUAGGCGACGAUCCCUAGCUGGUCUGAGAGGAUGAUCGGCCACACUGGAACUGAGACACGGUCCAG